rnacentral:lncRNA from 1 species
GGCAAAAACCAUUGUUAGACAGCUUCCUAGGCAGAAGGAAUAGCAUGUGCUAAGGCCUUAAGGCAACAUUCUAGGUGCUGUAAAAACCAGAGGGCAAAAACCAGGGUGCAGAGGAACAUCGAGAAACAAACAGGAGGGGAGGAACUUCUUAUAACCACUAUCCUAACGCUCAACAUUGUUUGAGAAUGAUUCAUUUGCAAAAGCACAGUCCCCACCAAACAAAUUCCUUUAUUUCUUAACAAAUGUGUUUGCUCCAUAACCUAAUACAGUGCUUGGCAACAGUCUAUCUUCAGGUAAAAAUCUGAGGCAUGAAGAAAUGAGCGCUUGCUCCUUCAGGAGCUCACUGAGCAAGGACCUUCACCUCUCGGUGCCAGUCGUAACAAAAUGAUCUCUGCCGGAGUUCAAAACCUUCCAAGUCUGACUAUUCCAAUCCUUACAGGCAAAACACUCACUUUCAUGCCAAUUUAUACAUAGAGUAUUUCAAAACCGAAGCUGCUAUUACCUGCGGAUGAACCCUUAAGUCCUGAAAAUUAAAUUAAGAUUCUAAGUAGGCAAGGACGUCUCUCCGUCCUCACUGUCUCGUACUGCCGCCAACUCAUCACCAACGGGGCUGCGUUGCAACUCCCACAGUCACAAUCGCAGCCAGGGGAAAAGCGGCGAAGUUCCGCCUGCCCGUCCUCAUUCUGCAGUCCCUGAACUUAUUCGGUGACUGGAGAUCGAGAGCAGGGAGCUGCCACCUAUGCCGUCCUUUUCUUCUUCCUGCCUAGCUGGUCCAGGACAAUCUCAACAUCUUCAGGAACAGAAGACUCGAGGGACGAAAUUCCUCUUCAUUCUAGCAGCAGCCAGGCUGAGAAAGCAACACUACCGCCUGGACCGCCUUGGGCCCCUCCCGGGCAAUUUCAUUCAGGAACCCAGCGGAAAGGACCACCAGCCUCUUUCUCCUAAACAGAGAGCCGGCAGGCG